rnacentral:rRNA from 1 species
CAGUAGCCGCGGGAAUACGUAGGUGGCAAAGUUGUCCGGAAUUAUUGGGCGUAAAGGGCUCGCAGGCGGUUGUGUAAGACAGGUGUGAAAUCCCCGGGCUUAACCUGGGAACUGCGCUUGUGACUGCACAGCUAGAGUAUGGCAGAGGGGGGUGGAAUUCCACGUGUAGCAGUGAAAUGCGUAGAGAUGUGGAGGAACACCGAUGGCGAAGGCAGCCCCCUGGGCCAAUACUGACGCUCAUGCGCGAAAGCGUGGGGAGCAAACAGGAUUAGAUACCCCCGUAGUCCCUGUCUCUUAUACA